GCAGGACACAUGAACAUCGACAAUUUGAACGCACAUUGCGGCCCUGGGAUUCCAUCCAAGGGCCACGCCUGUCUGAGGGUCGUUUCACAAGAAGGAUACGCGACUCGUUGUCGUUUUCCGAACGUUGAUCUCUCUGAGAUCGGAGACGGGUGUCGCAGCGGGCUCCCGCUCGCGGCUCCCGAGAUACUUGCCGGCGACCUAUAGGCUCGCGUCCCCGGCCGCUUGCCGGCAAUACGAGGCGUCCCAUCGCUCCGUCGUGCCCAUGUCGUUCGCUAACGGUCCCACGACGACGUUCCUUGCGCUCCAUCACUGGUCGCUACGUCGGACGGUCGUUUCAAUUGCGGAUAACAGGUGUGGGAACGGACACUGCGACGGAUUUCGCCCUCGUGACACACUGGCAGCGGUCGUCGUCGGACUUUUGCGAGUCGAGUCGGCAUCGCCUUUCGUCGAACGAGUGUUCCCGCCCGGGACCUCACGAUCGUGCGAACGACGAACAAACCGUUUCGACCUCAGAUCAGGUGGGACUCCCCGCCGAAUUUAAGCAUAUUAGUAAGCGGAGGAAAAGAAACUAACCAGGAUUCCCCCAGUAGCGGCGAGCGAACAGGGAAAAGCCCAGCACUGAAUCCCGGGGGCUCUGCCUCCAGGGAGAUGUGGUGUUCGGGAGGGUUCACACACCUGACGCCUCUGGCUCCGAUCUCAAGUCCAUCUUGAACGAGGCCAUGGUCCCUAGAGGGUGCCAGGCCCGUAGUCGG
rnacentral:rRNA from 1 species